CCGACCUUGGGGCCCUUUGAUUGGAAGAACGUGCAGCGCACCUCGGCAUUGAGGGCGGCUUCCUCGGGGCGCGGCGCCGCCCGCCUCUGAGUGCGCCUGCCUCUCUCAAUUGGGCAAAGCACUCCAGACCUUUUGGAAGAGUGACACCAAAGGCAAGCACCUGCUUGGCAGGCCCCUCAGCUUCUACGCAAGUAUAACUGAGGACCCUUGAAGAGGUUAAGUGACCAACCCAAGAUCACAAGACUGAUGAAACCAGUGCUUGAACUCAAGCUUCUGAUUCCGAGUCCAAUCUUCUCUUUCCACUGCAUAAAGAUACUCGAGUCUCUUAUCACCACCAACACCAAGUGAUGGCUUAUAAAGAUCAUCCUUAGGGUCUUUCCCCCUCAAACGUGCUAUCAUUCAGUAACUCUAGGAUCCUUGUUAAAAAAAAAAAAAAAACGGGGGUUGCGGAGAAGGGAUUGAAAUAUCUCCUCUCCCUGUCUUCACCUCCUCUGAUGAAAUCUGAUUUUAUUCUGUGAUAUGUAAGACCUGAAUGAAGGUGACUGAAGUAAUUGGGUACAUGGUUAGUGGUGGAAUCCGGAUGUGAACCUGAGUCAUGGUCUUGCCAUUGUUCCUUGAAGACAGGAAAUAUUUGUAAAUAUAUUUGGAAGCAACUUUAAAAUUGUUGCAUGUGGUUGGGUCUAACAGAAUCACUUGAAUGAAGAGAAAAACAUAACUUUUUCCUGUGAAUUUUCAGGGAAAUGCAAUUAUUUCCUUUCACUUGGUAUAAAAGCUCUUCAGAGGAAUAAAGCAUGCAUGAGCCAACACAUGCAGAGACAAUUGAGCCUUUAGUCGCAACUCAUGCUCUAGUUAUAAUGUGUUUUUAAAUUCCAUGAUAGCUACAGAGAAGGAGGAAAGGACUUAACAUAACAGCCUACCAUGU
rnacentral:lncRNA from 1 species